UACGUAGGGGGCUAGCGUUGUCCGGAAUCAUUGGGCGUAAAGCGCGCGUAGGCGGCCCGGUAAGUCCGCUGUGAAAGUCAAAGGCUCAACCUUUGAAUGUCAGCGGAUACUGCCGGGCUAGAGUCCGGAAGAGGCGAGUGGAAUUCCUGGUGUAGCGGUGAAAUGCGCAGAUAUCAGGAAGAACACCCGUGGCUAAGGCGGCUCUCUAGUACGGUACUGACGCUGAGACGCGAAAGCGUGGGAGCGAACAGG
rnacentral:rRNA from 1 species